UACGUAGGGUGCAAGCGUUGUCCGGAAUUAUUGGGCGUAAAGAGCUCGUCGGCGGUCUGUCGCGUCGGCUGUGAAAACCCGGGGCUCAACCCCGGGCCUGCAGUCGAUACGGGCAGACUAGAGUGCGGUAGGGGAGACUGGAAUUCCUGGUGUAGCGGUGAAAUGCGCAGAUAUCAGGAGGAACACCGGUGGCGAAGGCGGCCCACUGGUCCGGUACUGACGCUGAGGUGCGAAAGCGUGGGGAGCAAACAGG
rnacentral:rRNA from 1 species